rnacentral:rRNA from 1 species
GACGAACGCUGGCGGCGUGCCUAAUACAUGCAAGUCGAACGCUGAAGGAGGACCUUGCUUCUCUGGAUGAGUUGCGAACGGGUGAGUAACGCGUAGGUAACCUGCCUGUUAGCGGGGGAUAACUAUUGGAAACGAUAGCUAAUACCGCAUAAGAGUUGAUGUUGCAUGACAUUUGCUUAAAAGGUGCAAUUGCUUCACUACCAGAUGCGCCUGCGGUGUUUUAGGUUGUUGGGGGGGUAUCGGCUCACGAAGGCGACGAUCCAUAGCCGACAUGAGAGGGUGAGCGGCCAGACUGGGAGGGAGACACGGCACAGACGGAUACGGGAGGCAGCAGGAGGGAAUCGUGGGGAAGGGACGGAAGACUGACCGAGCAACGCCGAGGGAGUGAAGAAGGAUGUCGGAUCGUAAAGAUCUGUUGUAAGAGAAGAAAGAGUGUGAGAGUGGAAAGUUCACACUGUGACGGUAACUGACCAGAAAGGGACGGCUAACUACGUG